ACAGCGUUCCUGUGCUCCUGCCCAGCCUGAUUCCCCCGCCACACCUGUUUCACAUCAGCCUCAUUAGCGCUGCCCUGUUCCCAGCGUCCUCCACCUGCACCUCAUCCCCUCGUUAGUUUGGUUUGUUUUCUCACUCUUUGGUUUGUCCGUUUCCUUCCACGCGUCCCCUGUUCCUGUUCCCCUGGCCGUGUGUGUUUCUGAUCUGAUCUUCGUGGUUUUAUAGUUUGUCCUCAGUUUGGCAAAGAUACACCUUGCAUCUGAAGACCAUACAUUUAAAAACCUGCCACUUGAAAACUGAUGUCUGCUCGGCAGCACUGUCGCUGCACUUAGUGAUUUUGAUCACGUCCGCCUCUCUUCAUUUGGUAUUACUGCGCCCUGUAAAACCUCAGACAAUUAGGUCCGACAAAAGAUCCCUGAGGGUAAAUGAUCUGCUAAGAGAACAUUAUAUGCCCUGUUACAUGUCCCUGAGCUAAUGACUACCAAGAGUCACAAACCAAGACUCCUGUUCAUCGUCCUGUUAACGCUCCUCCUGCCUUCCCUUAUUUGAGGUUGUAAGAAAUCGUGCUUUGACUCAAAAUACAUCAGAUUUGUUACUCCCAA